UUACUGGGCUUAAAGAGUUCGUAGGUGGUUGAAAAAGUUAGUGGUGAAAUCCCAGAGCUUAACUCUGGAACUGCCAUUAAAACUUUUCAGCUAGAGUAUGAUAGAGGAAAGCAGAAUUUCUAGUGUAGAGGUGAAAUUCGUAGAUAUUAGAAAGAAUACCAAUUGCGAAGGCAGCUUUCUGGAUCAUUACUGACACUGAGGAACGAAAGCAUGGUAGCGAAGAGGAUUAGAUACCCUCGUAGUCCAUGCCGUAAACGAUGUGUGUUAGACGUUGGAAAUUUAUUUUCAGUGUCGCAGGGAAACCGAUAAACACACCGCCUGGGGAGUACGACCGCAAGGUUAAAACUCAAAUGAAUUGACGGGGACCCGCACAAGUAGUGGAGCAUGUGGUUUAAUUCGAAGAUACGCGCAGAACCUUACCAACACUUGACAUGUUCGUCGCGACUAUGAGAGAUCAGAGUUUUCGGUUCGGCCGGACGAAACACAGGUGCUGCAUGGCUGUCGUCAGCUCGUGUCGUGAGAUGUUGGGUUAAGUCCCGCAACGAGCGCAACCCUCACUUUUAGUUGCCAUCAUUAAGUUGGGCACUCUGAAAGAACUGCCAGUGAUAAGCUGGAGGAAGGUGGGGAUGACGUCAAGUCCUCAUGGCCCUUACGUGUUGGGCUACACACGUGCUACAAUGGCAUCUACAACAGGAAGCAAGACUGCGAAGUUAAGCAAAUCCCUAAAAGAUACCUCAGUUCGGAUUGCACUCCGCAACUCGAGUGCAUGAAGCUGGAAUUACUAGUAAUCGUGGAUCAGCGUGCCACGGUGAAUGCGUUCCCGGGUCUUGUACACACCGCCCGUCACACCAUGGGAGUUGGUUCUACCUUAAGGCAAGGUUUCAAACCCUUGACCACGGUAUAGUCAGCGACUGGGGUGAAGUCGUAACAAGGUAGCC
rnacentral:rRNA from 1 species